UGGCAGCAGGGGUUGGGAUGGGGAGAUCUACCCGUUAGUGCCAAAUGCUGGGUGCAGUGUAGCAGUAAGCAGGGAAGGGAGAAAGGAUUAGACGAUGAUGCACUAAAGCUGCUUCAGUGGAACAUGAGUCACUGGGAAUCCCUGCCAGCUGACUCCACCAGUUCACGUGCCUGGGUUGACAUAUUGCUGUGGAGAGAGGAAAGAAGAGCACUCAGAUCCUUGUUCUGACAUGACGAGCAGAAUGAACACAACUUGGGAAGGCUUCGAUUUCUCCUCCUGGCCCCAUCUCAUGGAACUUCAGGACCACCAGGGCCACACAGGGAAAGCGAUGGCUCACAUGUGAGAAUAAUCAUAGGUGGAUAACCUGAGCUGCAAGGGCUCCAGCCAGGGUGGCUGCCAAGCAGCAGGGCGACUGAGAUGAGUUAUUCUUCUUGAAGGACUGGCUCAAAUGGAUUGUGUUUGGAGGAAAACACUCAAUUCCCAAACCUGCUCUUGGAGAUGACAAGCUUCUUUCAGAACAGUUUAGCAGCUGGAAAUAAGGAGGAGCCACCACCAUGUGACCAGCCAGCACUCCGUGGACCAUCAAUUGCUCUGUAAUGCAUCAGUAGCCCACAGAUCCUGCAAGGUUUCCACCUUGUCACUUGAGGCUACAGCUUGAAAUAAAGGAAGAGCAUCUGCUUUGGA